rnacentral:rRNA from 1 species
UGAGGGGGGCUGCUCCUAGUACGAGAGGACCGGAGUGGACGCAUCACUGGUGUUCGGGUUGUCAUGCCAAUGGCAUUGCCCGGUAGCUAAAUGCGGAAGAGAUAAGUGCUGAAAGCAUCUAAGCACGAAACUUGCCCCGAGAUGAGUUCUCCCUGAGACUUAGAGUCUCCUGAAGGAACGUUGAAGACGACGACGUUGAUAGGCCGGGUGUGUAAGCGCAGCGAUGCGUUGAGCUAACCGGUACUAAUGAACCGUGAGGCUUAACCUUACAACGCCGAAG